rnacentral:rRNA from 1 species
GGUGCUUGCACCUGGUGGCGAGUGGCGAACGGGUGAGUAAUACAUCGGAACAUGUCCUGUAGUGGGGGAUAGCCCGGCGAAAGCCGGAUUAAUACCGCAUACGAUCUGAGGAUGAAAGCGGGGGACCUUCGGGCCUCGCGCUAUAGGGUUGGCCGAUGGCUGAUUAGCUAGUUGGUGGGGUAAAGGCCUACCAAGGCGACGAUCAGUAGCUGGUCUGAGAGGACGACCAGCCACACUGGGACUGAGACACGGCCCAGACUCCUACGGGAGGCAGCAGUGGGGAAUUUUGGACAAUGGGCGAAAGCCUGAUCCAGCAAUGCCGCGUGUGUGAAGAAGGCCUUCGGGUUGUAAAGCACUUUUGUCCGGAAAGAAAUCCUUGGCCCUAAUACGGUCGGGGGAUGACGGUACCGGAAGAAUAAGCACCGGCUAACUACGUGCCAGCAGCGCGGUAAUACGUAGGGUGCGAGCGUUAAUCGGAAUUACUGGGCGUAAAGCGUGCGCAGGCGGUUUGCUAAGACCGAUGUGAAAUCCCCGGGCUCAACCUGGGAACUGCAUUGGUGCUGGCAGGCUAGAGUAUGGCAGAGGGGGGUAGAAUUCCACGUG